rnacentral:rRNA from 1 species
GACUACCCGGGUAUCUAAUCCUGUUUGCUCCCCACGCUUUCGUGCAUGAGCGUCAGUACAGGCCCAGGGGGCUGCCUUCGCCAUCGGUGUUCCUCCUGAUAUCUACGCAUUUCACUGCUACACCAGGAAUUCCACCCCCCUCUGCCGUACUCUAGCCUUGCAGUCACAAACGCAGUUCCCAGGUUAAGCCCGGGGAUUUCACAUCUGUCUUACAAAACCGCCUGCGCACGCUUUACGCCCAGUAAUUCCGAUUAACGCUCGCACCCUACGUAUUACCGCGGCUGCUGGCACGUAGUUAGCCGGUGCUUCUUAGUCCGGUACCGUCAUCCAGCGACUAUGUUAGAGUCGCCGAUUUCUUCCCGGCCGAAAGAGCUUUACAACCCGAAGGCCUUCUUCACUCACGCGGCAUGGCUGGAUCAGGGUUGCCCCCAUUGUCCAAAAUUCCCCACUGCAGCCGCCCGUAGG